rnacentral:lncRNA from 1 species
CGGAGAACUCGUACAGUAGCGGCGUCAGAUCCAACGCGCGCCUCCUAGUCCAGAGUCCAUUUGCAUAAUUGGAUUUUUUUUUUUUGCCUCUUUCUUCUUCCCCGAAACUUGUUUGAAAACCCCAGUGAAAACCGCGACGACCUGCGCACUCAAAAGCAAGUGCCAAGGAGCUGGGACGCCCCUCUGGCAAUCUGUCAGUGCCUGCAUCAACAGUCUCCUUCCUGGGGUAUUUUCUCACCAGACUGACAGUCCUUAAGACAAGUAUGCAGUUAAGCUGCUAAGG